rnacentral:rRNA from 1 species
CCUACGGGGGGCUGCAGUGGGGAAUCUUGCGCAAUGGGCGAAAGCCUGACGCAGCGACGCCGCGUGAGCGAUGAAGGCCUUCGGGUUGUAAAGCUCUGUGGGGAGAGAAGAAUAAGGGUUGGCUAACAUCCAACCUGAUGACGGUAUCUCCUUAGCAAGCACCGGCUAACUCUGUGCCAGCAGCCGCGGUAAGACAGAGGGUGCAAACGUUGGUGGAAAUCACUUGGCGUAAGGCGCGUGUAGCCGACGUGAAAGCCAGCGGCUCAACCAUGGAAGUGCAUGCGAAACUGCCAGACUAGAGUCCUGGAGAGGAAGGCGGAAUACUCGGGGUAGAGGUGAAAUUCGUAGAUAGCGAGUGGAACACCGGUGGCGAAGGCGGCCUUCUGGACAGUGACUGACGCUGAAACGCGAAAGCGUGGGGAGCAAACAGGAUUAGAUACCCUUGUAGUC